AGGAUGCUUCGGGCGCGGUGCCUUCCAAGUCCCCUGGAACGGGGCGCCAUAGAGGGUGAGAGCCCCGUACGGUUGGACACCAAGCCUGUGUGAAGCUCCUUCGACGAGUCGAGUAGUUUGGGAAUGCUGCUCUAAAUGGGAGGUAGACCCCUUCUAAAGCUAAAUACCGGCUGGAGACCGAUAGCGCACAAGUAGAGUGAUCGAAAGAUGAAAAGAACUUUGAAAAGAGGGUUAAAAAGCACGUGAAAUUGUUGAAAGGGAAGCGCUUGUGACCAGACUUGCGCCGGGGCGAUCAUCCAGCGUUCUCGCUGGUGCACUCGCCCCGGCUCAGGCCAGCGUCGGUUCGUUGGGGGGUACAAAGGCGCCGGGAAUGUAGCUCCCUCGGGAGUGUUAUAGCCCGGCGUGUCAUGCCCCCUCGCGGACCGAGGUACGCGCUCUG
rnacentral:rRNA from 1 species